GAGCCUUGACACGCGGCCUGUGGGCUUGAGCGCAUGCGCGGAGUAGCGGCUCGCUGAGGGGGUGGUGUCGCUGCGCGCGCAAUGGAGCGUCGGUGGCGGUUCGUUCCUGAGGCGGAGUCCGCCUCCAGCUGAGUCGUGGGUUGUGUUGGUUUUCUUGAGAGAAAGAUAGAAGGAAAAAGUUUGCUACUGUAAGGGUAGCACCAUUUUGGACCAAAUUGCCCAGAGAGAUGGUGGAAGCCCUGUUUCUGGAGCCAUUCAGGGUCAGGCUGGACCGGGCUUUGGACAUCCUGCUUUUAUUGUUUGCCACACAAAAGAACUGAAGUUUUGUUGCUGUUAGUUAUGGAAAUCCAGCUACCUUUGAGUACUGGAGUGAGAUGAAGUGGAGCUCUAAAUCAAUGAUUGAAAAUUUUUGAGCUGAAAGGCUCCCUUUCUCCCUCACUUGGAGGUAAUACAACUGGCAAUCACUAGCCAAAUGAUACUGCUGUUACCCACUUAUUGAUUUACAACCUUCUGAGCAGUGACUGCUGGCAUCCUUUUACUUGGCUGUGAGUUUGGAUGCUGAUCUCUUCAGAACCUAUCAGUGUCAUUCUCUGCAUUAUGAACAGAGCAGGCCUUUGAGGUAUUUCCCUGAAGAGAUUAAGUAUGAAUGUGAAGUACUGAAUUGCUUUUUGUUCGUUCCACUGAAAAUGCAGACCAACCUGAAUUAUUAGCGUAUGUCUAUAUGUCGAUAUUAUGCAAUAAGCAUAUGUCUAUAUAGUGAUAUUAUGCAAUAAACAAUGCAGAAUAUAUUUUUAUAAUUUAUCUUUUUUUGACUUGCAGAGAAGAGCAAAUAAAAAAAUGUUGUAAAAGCAACAAGCCUGAUUUCAGCAGCUCAGAAGCUGUUCAGUGGUGGCUCUCUGGUGAUCAUAAUCUAUGCUUCUUUGCUGUAAGUCUACAUAUGCUACUGUAGUAAAUGUUUUGUUUUUACUAACAGUUUGAAAGAGAACAAAACAAUAUUUUGCUUUGUAAAAUGAACAUAGAAGUUGCAACUUCUUAUGACCCACCUUAGGACCAUAAAGAAAAUACCUCCUGGGUCAGGUGAGAUGAAUCUGUGGGUAGUCUAUGGGAAACUAUGAAUCUCAGGGUAUGUUUGUAGUGCUUAGUGGAUGACAGAAAAUUUGGGGAAAUACAGCUACAGCGUUUUGUGGAUACACCAGCUCACGUCUGCAAGCAAUGAUGCUGUUCUGUUUUGCCAACUGGACAAUGUGUUUGCACUGAUUUCUGAACCAUGCUGACUCACCUGGGCAACUGACUGUGCCAACGAAUAAAAACAGAGCUUAUCUUUCGCACAGCACAGCUUUUCUGAAUCUGACAAUGCCAGAUCUUUGCUUACUGAAUCAAGCUCAUCGUGUAAUGUGAACUGGGACUUCUGAUGUUAUUAACUAGGGUGCUCUCACAACUAUUCUCUUACUUACAAAAUCCUGUGGCAUUCUUGCUUGUUGAGAACAAGCAUUUUUCCCAUUUUCCCUAACUGUGAGUUUGUAUGUGCUUAGUGAAAGGAACGUAUGAUAUUGUAUGUAGAAUGUCAUGGGGUUUUAGUGGAAACCUUCAUGAACGGUUGCAGAUAUGUUUGUAAUCCCUCGGAUAUGUCAUUUUACUUCUGUUUUUGUUAUUCAGAAACAAAUACAAUUUGUAUUUGUUUACAUAAUGUUUGUCCAAUCUUUGUCAAUAAAUUUGGCAGGGAUACAGGUCUGCGUACUUCAACUAAUUUCUAAAAAGGGUAUCAAUGGACAACCUACAGGCAAUCUUAUUGCAGCAUGCAACUUACUGUGUGAAUUGACCUGGGACAAACCUGCAAAGGACCUUAAUAUUUACUCUAGACAGUGAAAAGCAUUCUAUAAAAUUUCUGAAGGCUUCAGUAAAGUAGCAGACGUGGCAGGUGAAUCUUAGAAGACUGGCAUGCAUGUAUUGUUUUAGAGUUUCCAAAUGUGUUUAAAACAUUUAAAGUGAAACUGAGCAAGAGUGAGUGUACUCACUUUGGUCACAUUAUGUGAUCCAAGGAGAAGUUCUGACAUCUUUUACCUAUGAAUGACCUAACUAUGAAUGACAUAAGAUAAUCAAGAUCUGAAAGGAGGUUGUGUUUUAGUAUUGGGUUUUUUGUUUGGCUUUUUUUUUUGAGAUUCAGGCCAAGGAUAGCAUUAAAGUGUCAGUGUUUGACUUAGAAUCAUGAAAUCAUUUGAGUUGGAAGGGACCCUUAAAGGUCAUCUAGUCCAACUCCCUUGCAAUGAACAGGGACACCUACAGCUAGAUCAGAUUGCUCAGAGCCUGGUCCAGCCUAACCUUGAAUGGCUUCAAGGAGAGAGCAUCCACCACAGCUUUGGGCAACUUGUUCCAGUCUCUCACCACCCUAACUGUAAAAAGCUUCCUUAUAUCCAGUCUAAAUCUCCUCUUUUUUAGUUUGAAACCAUUUCUCCUUGACCCUCAACCUGCUGACCUUGCUUCUUUGGAUGCAGCCCAGGAUAUGGAUACUUGUUAUGAGGAUUUUUAAUUUAUUUAAAUAAAUUUGCUUCCUAUUGAAAAAUACUCUGAAAAUGCAAUGCUUUCUCUCAUGUUCACCAUCUCCAACCUAGCAAUUCUUAAAUGGUGUUCUUUGGUCUGAAAAAAGGUAAGCAAGUGAUGCGCCAGUAACACAAAAAUUAGCUUAAAAUGCACUGAUUCAGCUAGUGAUUUAAAUGAUAGCCACACACUCAUGUCUCAAACGUAGCUUACCACAGACAUAUGCAUGGGAGAUUAUGACUUCAGUAGGUAGAAGAUGUUUAUGUAAAAAGUACUAAGAUGAGGUUUUGUUUUACAUCAUUAUUUGAUAUGUACAAGAAAAAUGACUCUGAAUAAUUCUGAAUGCAUAGAAAAAAAAACAGCAGCAGCAAAAAAGGCUUUAGUGUGAUACUGUGGGUGCAUUUACUGAAACAAAUAUAGUAUUUCCUGAAAAGGAGUUACAUUUGUAUUACCUAUGAAUCAAAAGGUGCUGCUACGUGUGAGGUGGAAGAACUAAAGAUUGUAUACCUUUCCAAUGAAGUAUAGCAGUGAUAUUUCCUUUUGAGUCAGCUCAGUAACCUGAGCAUUAAAUCCUUCCUCGAAGAAAGUACAUUAAAAAACAUAAGCUAAGUUAGAAAACCAGAGUUGUCUUUUAAAAAGUGAUAGAUACAAUAUGCUUAGGUAAUACAGACUUCAUGUUGUAUGUGGCAUGCUUGGGCACUGGAACAUGCUCCCCAGGGCAGUGGUUGUGGCACUGAGCUGCUGGAGUUCAUGAAGCAUUUGGACAGUGUGGUCAGACAUAGCAUUUGAUUUUGAAAGGCCCUCUGUGGGGCCAGGGUUGGGCUCGGUGAUCCUUGUGGAUCCCUUCCAGCUUGGGAUAUUCUAUGAUUAGCCAGUGAGUCCUCAACCAAAUUGCUUUUGCUAUGCUACCAGAGAGGUAACCUCUGCAGUAACUCCUUGUUCUCAGCAGUGUGAAGUGGCACAGUGACACCCUGGCUUUCAGGCAGCUCUGUAACUCCUGAAUGGGCAACGCGCUGUUUAACCUGAGGUACCUUGGAAGUUGAUCCUGCUUUAUGCACAAGUAGAACAAGAUGACCUCCAGCAUGCUGUUCCAACCUACGUUAGUCUGUGACUAAUAAGGAUUCCCAGCCGUGCAAGGUUACUGCAGACAUGAACCAGAGGUAUGGGUUCUGCAGGCUUUUUCACACCUUAUCUGUACUCAAGGUGAAUGAAAAAGAAGGCAAGAAGGUCAGCGUUGAAUGCAUGCUGUCUUCAUGUAGAACACUUUUCAGUAUCAUUCACAAAAAUAAAAUCAUGUAUAUGGGCAGAUAGCUAAUUUCUAAGAUUACAAACAGAUAUAUAUGGUAAAAAUGUAAGCAAUAUCUCACUGAAAACUAACAAAAAAUUAUAUUUAUCCCUGAAUUUGUGAUAAAGCUGGGUUCCAUACUGGAAUUACUCAGCUUUCUUUCUGUUUUCCAAUUUACUUGAUCGUAACUUCCUAGAGUAACUGAAGUUAAGUCAAACGUGCUGCCUGUACUGGUCAUUUACAUUUGCUAAUCUGGUAUUAACACCAUCAUACUGAUAACUAUCUCUGACAGUUAUUAUAAAGAAUUUAUUAUAACAGAUAUAUGUAGACGUCCUGAAAGAAUUAAUGUUAAAUAAUAGAUAUACUGUAGGUCUACUAAGAGAAUAGAAAAGAGAUGCUAGUACUGCAGUCCCAACAAACCUUUCCAAAGAAGUCUUUCUAAAAUUCCUUCCAAAGAAAAUGUAAGCUCCCAUCUUCCCUAGGUUUUUACUAUGAAACUGUGGUUCUCAGAAACUUUCUUAAAAGAAUGCAAUUCUGAAAUCUCUGGAUAACUUUAAUACUGCUAUUUCUUAUCAACUGGGGGAAGAGAUGAUAAUUAUUUUAAAUACAUCUCUAUUUAAAUAAAAUGGCAUAUUUUUAUGUUUUAAACAUCAAUUCAAAAUGUUUCAGUGUCUGCUAGUCCUCAGUUAUGGUUGCACAUAGUCAUGGGCUACUACAACUGGUGACUGUUCAAUAGAUCAAAUUCUGAUAUUUCGUUUACCAUUAGGACUCUGCAGCCUUCAAUGUGACUAUAUUGCUGUACACUACUUCUGUCCUCUCCUACCAAUAUAAUUCAUAUUCUGUUUUUUCCUUUUGCCAGAAAAUGAUGUACAGUGUUAGUAGUUUGUACAUGCAUGCAUCUCUUUAUUGAAACAUUUCAGGUACAUAGACUCCUGGUUUGUACUAGCUGCUUUGACUAACCUGUAUUUUGAUCUUCUGUUCUGACAGCCUGAGAAUUAUUCCCUUGACUUCUUUGCCAUUUUAAAUCUGAAAUAACACUUGAACAGUCUUCAUGUCAACUAUCCCUCUGAAUUUACAGUUUUCAUCUUUAACCUGUCUGCGGUGAACAAUUUUUCUUCCCUCUAGUAUUUUUCCCUAGUCUUUGGUGUGUCUCAGACAGACUCCAAGGCCAACAGAUCCUUCCUUAUAUUAAGAGCUAGAGAAACAAUUCAAAUAUUUACAUUUCUUGCCACAAUUUGCUAUUGUAAGUUUAAGUUCCCAGUUCUUCUGAUUACUGUGCUUCCUAGCGUACUUAAUCCAAGACCAUAAAAUGCAGUAAAUUAAUGCUGGAAGCACAUGUCUCAGAUCAAGGCUUCAUAACAAGUGUGAGUAUCUAACUUGCCACUUAGAGGACAAAUAACUUUCAUAGAAUCAUAGAAUCAUGCAAUGGCCUGGGUUGAAAAGGACCAUAAUGAUCAUCUAGUUUCAACCCCCCUGCUAUGUGUGGGGUCGCCAACCACCAAACCAGGCUGCCCAGAGCCACAUCCAGCCUGGUCUUGAAUGCCUCCAGAGAUGGGGCAUCCACAGCCUCCUUGGGCAACCUCUUCCAGUACAUAUUUCCAUUCAUAGGUUUUAUGAAAACACACAUGGAAUGGCAUUAAAUCUUCGUGUAAUGGAAGAAUCACUGAUCACAUACCUUUAAGUUAUUAAAAUGAACUAAGAAGAUAAAUGAAAUUACAGGGAAAAUGCUUGUUUUAUAUUUUAUGAAGACUUUACAACCCUUUUAUGAACAUGUUUUUCCGAUAGAAUGUUGAGAAGUGCUUCAAGAAAAAAAAUGAAUUCUAAGAGAAAUGUGUAAGCAUUGUUUACAUAUUGGAAACUAUUCUAAAUACAUCUUCAUGAUGACCAGCACUGCUGAAAUAAUGCCUCCACCAAGUGUGUAGGGCUUGCAGAAUUGUAUGGUUGAGUGAGAAGAUCAAUUGGAAAGGAGAUACUCAAGAGAAGACAAUGAAGCAGUAUUCCAUCUGUACCAAAGUGGUGCUACUAACUCAGGUGUUUAUAGAACUAGAGGUGAAUAAGAAAGAGUUUGAAAAAAAAGUCCCAACCAAGAGUUGGAGUCUAUCUCAGAAAGGACCAAAUCGGACUAAAAACACAGCAGCACAUAAGCAAUAUUUGGUUUGUGAAUUCAGACUUCAAAGUAUCCAGGUCAGCCUGUUGAAAUGAAUCCAAGUAAGGUCCAGUAAGAAGUGGCAACCCAGAAAGCGCUAACAGUUCAGAACUUGCUAUGAUUUUCAGUGAAGUGUUGGAGGUCAGUUAUAAAAGAAAGGUUCAGACUUGCAGACAGCUGUGAGAGCCCGAUAGAGGUGCUGAACAUUGAUCCUGAUCUACACUUCUCUCCAUUUUCCAUCUAUAUCCCACAAAGAUCAGAUGAAAGAGAUGAAAGAGUCUGAGAUCAAAUAGUACAGAAAUCACUUUUUUUUUUUCAUCUUGGAAAGGGAGACUUCCUGGAAGACUUUUUGUUGUUGCUAUUGGAGCUUUUUUGUUGUUUUUAGUUGAUUGGUUGGUCUUUAAAAUUACAUCCCAAAGGCUAAAAGAUGGACAAAAAAGGAAAAAAAAAAAGUUAUGUCACGUGGAUCAAUUCUAAUAUUACUUCAGAUUAAUUUCUCAAGAGACACUACAAUUCUAAACUUUAUACAACGCUAAGAUGGGGAUUUGGAUCAAGAUGGACCUCAAUUAUCCAUAUACACAUAAAAGUCAGUCCUGAAGGAAAAGACAAAGUAUGCCCUAAAAAACUUUGCAGACUUCAGUAGUUUGACUUCUAGACACAAUCAGAAGUGCUCAAGAUAAAGUGAUGGUGGGAUAAAUUCUAUUUGGUAGGGGUGGGCAAAUUAAGAUUACCUGAAAGAAAGCAAAAGUUUUUUUGUGCGGUGAUGGGAAGAAGAAAAUAUUGCUACAAUGCAUGUCACCAGGUGGCAGUGUUACACAGUCUUGCAGCUCCUAUGCUCUGUAAGAAAAUUUGGGGUCUUGGAAGGAAUACUGAUGGGGAUAUUUGUUAGUUUUUGUUAGGCAGAAGGAAUUUCCAGCCUCUCUUUGCCCUGAUUUUCCUGGAUCAAAAUCGAUUCUUGGGAUGAUAUUGCAGUCUGGGGACUUGAACAUUGGCAUGGGCACCACAGUCUUGAAACAAGAAUGUAUUGUAUCCUAUUAGGUUGCUCUUUAAUGGGAAAAACAAAGACCAAAUGCGAAUUCAGUAGAGAUAUCCUUGACAUGAUUGACGCUGACUGAGUCUGUAGCACUUCGACUUGUACCAGAAUCUGGAAAAGUGUAAGUGGAUGUGUACAGAUAAUCAAAUAAAUGCAUUCAACUUUUUCUAUGAUAAGGGUAGUGAAGCUUUAGGACAGAUUGCCCGGAGAUGUGGUGGAAGUCCCGUCCCUUGGAGACGUCCAAGGUCAGGCUGGACCGGGCUCUGAGCAACCUGAUGUAGCUGUAGGUGUCCCUGUUCACUGCAGGGGAUUCGGACUAGAUGACCUUUAAGAGUCCCUUCCAACUCAAAUGAUUCUAUGAUUCUAAGAUUCCAUGAUAUGCCUUUGGUCUCUAACAAGUCAACAAAAGCAGCUCUGUACUCUGGAGUUUGCAUCGUAAGUACUGCGGGACUCAAAGGGCUGGAGACUGCCAGGAAUGUGCAUCAGCAGGUCUAGGUUUUUCUCUGCCUGCAACAGAAGUGGAAGAGCCAGUUGCUGUGUCUGUCCUGAUAAAUGCUGUCUGUGUGUGGCAGAUUUCAGUUGUAGAACGAGCAUAUACAAACGACCCUAUGUUCAGUUUUUUUGGGGAUUACAAAAAAAAAGCACCUUGCAUUUCAUAUUCUUUGCCUUCUCCCUUUGCUGCAGGACCAGUGUUUGCUCCUUGUCAUUUGAUCUUGCACUUACUCAAGUAACUUCCCACUCACCGACUCUCACCUGGCGUAUUGUGAAGCUGUGCACAUCU